UGGACCAUGUACAAGUCUGUUGAAAUGCAGCAUCAUUGAGGGUGAGAAUCCUGUUUAUGAUAUGGACUACCAGUGCUCUAUGAUACAGUCUCUAAGAGUCGAGUUGUUUGGGAAUGCAGCUCAAAGUGGGUGGUAAAUUCCAUCUAAGGCUAAAUAUUGGUGAGAGACCGAUAGCAAACAAGUACCGUGAGGGAAAGAUGAAAAGAACUUUGGAAAGAGAGUUAACAGUACGUGAAAUUGUUAAAAGGGAAACAGUUGAAGUUAGACUUGUUGUUGUUGGUUCAGCUCUUUAAGGGUGUUUUCUGAUAAUUAACAAACCAACAUCAAUCUUUGGGUGUUGGAUAAGGGUCAUUGAAAUGUAGCAGUCUUGGCUGUGUUAUAGUCAUUGACUUGGAUACAAUGCCUAGGAUUGAGGAUUGCAGUAAGCCAUUUAUUUGGUGGGACAAUU
rnacentral:rRNA from 15 species